rnacentral:lncRNA from 1 species
AAUAUUACUUGCAUAAAAAAAAUGUUUAAAGUUAAUUGGGUUUUUGUUUCUAGGCCCAUUCGGUGGCGUUUUUAGAGUCUCUUUUCAUUUUCAUAGUGUAAAAACGGGUGGAAUAUGCGUUCGGUGGGGAAGUCUAAAAACACAGUAAACAACUUCAUUUUGACGUUUCCAGCGUUUUUAGAGAAUGCAGAUUCAACAUUUCCAAAAGCAAAAUAGAAUCGAAAAUUAAUUGUCACCGCCAUAAUCAAACCCCAACCACCGCUGUCCAACCCGCCACAGCGUCCACCAUCAAACCCACCACCGACACGGCUGUCAGACCAUUGCCACCGCCAAAGCUCCUGCCACUGCCACCAAACCUCACAGACCCAGUCCCCACAUCACCAACCAUCCCAAUUGAAUCACCACCAAACACCCAAUCCAACCCAAUACACAUCAUCGCCACCUAGUAAAAGCAAUCGGCUCCAGCACCUCCACCACCCAUACCCAAUAGAAGCACCAUCACCACCCAAUCGAACCAGCACUAUCAAGCCAAUUGAACAAGCACAAAACCCAUCUACCUGAUUUUUGCUGCUAGGAGAAUAUGACCUUGAAACUAUGACCUUAAAAACAAGAUGUUGUUUAUUGAGAUCUCAGAGAUCUCAGAGGUGUUUAGUUAACAAAAAUUAAAAACAAGAUGUUGUUUAUUGAGAUCUCAGAGAUCUCAGAGGUGUUUAGUUAACAAAAAUGGGGGGAGAGAGAGAGAGAGAGAGAGAGGAGAUAUGUUUAGAUCGGGAAAAUGAGGUGGGGUGUUCUGACCAAAAAUAAAAAAAGGUGGUGUGUUUGUUUUUUUCUUUUCUUUAGCUUUUUUAUUUUAUUUUUUAUUUUUAUCAACCUUCCCUUUGUUUACAAGAGUGGGGU